AAUCAAUAAAAAUAAAACAAAUUGAAAAAUUUUCCUAUUGUAACUUGCCGGUGACCAAAUUUUUAGGUAUUAAAACCUUCAAAUAACAACAACAGCUUCUUUAAAAAAUAUUUAUCGCGGUGUUCAGCAGAUGCUGGAGGAUCUGCAUUAGGACCAUUGUUUUUGGCGUACAGCAUUGCCCUUGCUGGGAGGUUGCCUUAGCAUUUUGGUGUGAGCGAAACGUCUCGAUUUGUAGUCAAACAGGAAUUCAAAUAAAACAAAGAAUUGCAUCAAACGUGGAAAGAAACAACAAAAAGCAUUCGCAGGUGAUGCUAUGAGAUCAAAAUACACUUAAGCAGAGAGCGAAGAAUCAUGAAAAAUAGAUGCAAAUAGUACAAGAGCGGUAGAAAUGCUAGAGGAGCUGAUGCACCUGUCGUCAUCUAAGAAGAGUUCAUCUUGUUAUGCCCAAGCAUCAUCAUCUCAUUGCGCGCGCUAAAAUGCCAGCAUACUGACGACAAACGACGUUGACGGCGUUUUAACUCAAACGAAAAUCAGAGAGAUCUUUUCCGAAAUUCACUGCAAAGGCAGCGACAAUGUUCGCUUCACUGGCUUAUGGAGGUGCUCUCUAUGAAAAUGCAAAAUCACCGGAAUACAGGCGAACUAAAAGAAGCAGUUAAUAAUUUUCCGCAGGACUAAGUCGCAUUUGUCUACAGUCUACUUUUGAUUUUCUUAUCAAGGCAAUUACAAACUGACAGUUCAAUAUGGUCUCAUCCACAUAUCACAUGGGCAUUUAGGAAGCGGAGUGCUCUAUAAACCAGCAUGUACCUGUAAUUUUGUGCUAAACAGAAAUGAAUAACCACGCAGCUAUAUGUUUGCCGAGGGAAAAGAUGCUAAUAUACCCGAGCUUUUGCGAAAUCCGAAAUCCAUCCACUCACAUUAGACGGAUGUUCAGAUAGGUCGUUCUUUUCAUAUGUGGGAACCUGGUCCCCGCCGGUCCGAGAUAAAAGCGCUUAGUUAACAAAGCAACAGAUUCAAAAAUACUUCUAGAAUAAGAUUCAUCGUUACCUGUUGUGAUGUACUUGAGUACACUAAACUUUGUAUAUAAUGAUAAGGACUUGCCUUUAGAAGCCACGAUUCCAAGCUUACUUCACUAUUCUAAACCUAUUUUAUGGCGACGUAUUUCAUACCAACUACCAUUUCACCAGAUGCUUGCCUACUUUAGCACUGUCUACGCCUAAAUGACGCCAAGACAACUGAGCACAAACCUGUUUGUCACCGAUUUUCUUUGAAAUUUGUCCUAGCUCGUUGUUUCCCCAUCCAUAGACGCUCCCAUUACCUGAAAGGUAGUAAAAUUUCAUUAAGAGACCAUGACAAACGAAGUAAGAUUGAGAAGCGAAAGUUGAUGGGGAACGUCAUAGAAUGCACAAGUUUAAUACAACUCUGGAGCGUGGUGCAUGGAGAAAGAAACCUUUCUACAAACAAUGAUUCGAUAAUAAGACUGUCUAGAACUUAUGAAUAAACAUGCUAUACUUUAUGUAUUCACGGCAUGACAUUUUCUAAUUUACUGUCUUUUGUAAAAGUCUACCCAACUGUUAAAGAGAAGAGCGACAAUAUUCGACGAGAAGGAGAAUUAAAAAACACUGAGUACUUGUACCAAGUUUCAUGCUUGUAUUAUAAGAUGCACACUUCAACUGCUAAGCGACUGCACUAAAAGGGCAUUGCUAUUAAAGGCCGUUUAAGCAUGCUUUGGUUUUAAAAAGGUUAUAAAUAUUAAGAAAAAUCAGACGAUACAUUUCUUUAAUCGUUUUAGAUGAUAUCAAAUUCAGAGUUUUAUAAUUUUCUAUAGCCUGGGUAGAAAAUACUUCAUUUUUCAUUGAAAAAUUAUCAGAGCUCGAAAAAUUGUCCAAUCUUUUCCUGCCAAAGUUUUAAAACUUUUCUGGAAACAGUUAAAAAGAGCUUGAUCUAGGUGUGGUAACUGAAAAAAUUUUGGUUUCGGGGUACAACCGUUUUACAUGGUUUGUGGAAACUCACCAGUAAGAGCUAGACAAGCAUCAGUUGUUGUUGAAACUUGCGAUAUCCAUUCGUUAUUAAUAUGCCCCGCAACUUGUGUAAAACCGUAUUGACACUCAUGGUGACCAAGGCCUGAGAAAAAAAUAGCAUUAAUGUAAAACAUAAAGAAGAUUUCAUAGUGUUGGAAAAAAUAACAUAGCUUAUCAAAAAUCUGGGUGCUAACACAAAGUCAGCCCCCUUGAUAGCCUCCCUCUCAAGAGAAUUUUUCACUCCAAAAGUCACGUUUCACUGCAAUGAAUCAU